CUAGGCAAAAUGGUGCCGUAACUUCGGGAGAAGGCACGCUGAUAUGUAGGUGAAGCGACUUGCUCGUGGAGCUGAAAUCAGUCGAAGAUACCAGCUGGCUGCAACUGUUUAUUAAAAACACAGCACUGUGCAAACACGAAAGUGGACGUAUACGGUGUGACGCCUGCCCGGUGCCGGAAGGUUAAUUGAUGGGGUUAGCGGUAACGCGAAGCUCUUGAUCGAAGCCCCGGUAAACGGCGGCCGUAACUAUAACGGUCCUAAGGUAGCGAAAUUCCUUGUCGGGUAAGUUCCGACCUGCACGAAUGGCGUAAUGAUGGCCAGGCUGUCUCCACCCGAGACUCAGUGAAAUUGAACUCGCUGUGAAGAUGCAGUGUACCCGCGGCAAGACGGAAAGACCCCGUGAACCUUUACUAUAGCUUGACACUGAACAUUGAGCCUUGAUGUGUAGGAUAGGUGGGAGGCUUUGAAGUGUGGACGCCAGUCUGCAUGGAGCCGACCUUGAAAUACCACCCUUUAAUGUUUGAUGUUCUAACGUUGGCCCCUGAUCGGGGUUGCGGACAGUGUCUGGUGGGUAGUUUGACUGGGGCGGUCUCCUCCUAAAGAGUAACGGAGGAGCACGAAGGUUGGCUAAUCCUGGUCGGACAUCAGGAGGUUAGUGCAAUGGCAUAAGCCAGCUUGACUGCGAGCGUGACGGCGCGAGCAGGUGCGAAAGCAGGUCAUAGUGAUCCGGUGGUUCUGAAUGGAAGGGCCAUCGCUCAACGGAUAAAAGGUACUCCGGGGAUAACAGGCUGAUACCGCCCAAGAGUUCAUAUCGACGGCGGUGUUUGGCACCUCGAUGUCGGCUCAUCACAUCCUGGGGCUGAAGUAGGUCCCAAGGGUAUGGCUGUUCGCCAUUUAAAGUGGUACGCGAGCUGGGUUUAGAACGUCGUGAGACAGUUCGGUCCCUAUCUGCCGUGGGCGAUGGAGAACUGAGGGGGGCUGCUCCUAGUACGAGAGGACCGGAGUGGACGCAUCACUGGUGUUCGGGUUGUCAUGCCAAUGGCACUGCCCGGUAGCUAAAUGCGGAAGAGAUAAGUGCUGAAAGCAUCUAAGCACGAAACUUGCCCCGAGAUGAGUUCUCCCUGAGACUUUAAGUCUCCUGAAGGAACGUUGAAGACGACGACGUUGAUAGGCCGGGUGUGUAAGCGCAGCGAUGCGUUGAGCUAACCGGUACUAAUGAACCGUGAGGCUUAACCUUACAACGCCGAAG
rnacentral:rRNA from 1 species